UUUAACGUAAUUGAUUGGUAAUGGGAGUC
rnacentral:piRNA from 1 species